rnacentral:lncRNA from 1 species
CACCUCUGCUGCUACCUCUCAUGCACAGAGCCAACUCGCACGGUAUUUCUGAUGGAGAGUCAUCCAGUCUGUGGAAAGUUUUCACGUCCUGCCGAGAAACCCUCUUCACUGAGACCUGGCCCUCUUCAUUAAGAAAUUCCUGCUUUGUAUAACAAAUGGGUUUUUUUUCAAUGCUCAGACACUCAUCAUCGUCCAAUCUCCUGGAGCCAUGUGGAGGAAAGCACUCCACCUCCCUCAGAACAGAGUUUCAAUAACCGAGGACAGCUUCGACGACUCUCAGCGUCUUCUUCAGGCCAAGCCAGAGCAAACUGGCUCUGCCGUCCUCCGCAGACUGAGCGGUGUCUCCCAACAGCACUCACGUACCACCCACCUCUUCACCUGUGUGGCUGGGCUGACCCUGCCUUCAAGGAACACUUGGCUGAGCUCAUCCCUGACUUGAACAUGGACUUUGCAUGCUACUACACUUUGACCACCAGCCUGACAGUGGCAAGAGAGGAAGAUUGAGGCCCAGGCAGAGGUUUAGGGACCCCUGGCUUCUCGUGCACCACCAGCACCAUUGCCAUUUUCAGAAAGCUGCCUCCUUCCUGGGUCCUCUGAGACAUCAGGUUGAGCAGUAUUGUGGCUGUCAUCAUGAACCUUGUCAUCAGGGACAGGCUCCAGUGUGUUUGAAAUCACAGCCAGGAGACAGAUAGAUUCAAGCCACCUGCGGAGGAGGGUGAGCCUCUCUUUUUAACCAUCUAUGUCCCAAGGGGAAGCUUGAUGACACCAUAUCUUCCCAAGUUUGCUUGAUGGACAGUCUAAAUAAAUACAGUUGUUUCUCUUUUAUAUCAAUAAUUUGAACAUCCCCCCAUGCCUCCAAACACACAAAUACUUUGCAGCCCAGUUGCACAGACAGGGUGUACAGAAAGAACUUAUCCCUCCCACCCUACCCUGCCUACUUCUGUGGACCAUGGACAGCACUGCUCGCACUUAACACAUUCUCACAGGUGCCUUCACUCCUCACUUUGUCUUGAAGGCCAUUGCCUCAAGUCAAUCAUUUCUUACCAAUUUCCCCAAUGCUUUGGAGAAUACCUAGCUCUAAGGCUUGCUAACUACAGAUCUGGCCAAUGAAUGAAUGCGUGAAUGAGUGAGUAAUCCUAUGGGAGGAAGACCACGACAGCAGUGUUUUUCUGCCAUGGUCA